UACGAAGGUCCCAAGCGUUAUCCGGAUUUAUUGGGUUUAAAGGGUGCGUAGGCGGGUUAUUAAGUCAGUGGUGAAAGCUCCCAGCUCAACUGGGAAACUGCCAUUGAUACUGAUAAUCUUGAGUAUGAUUGAAGUGGGCGGAAUGUGUCAUGUAGCGGUGAAAUGCUUAGAUAUGACACAGAACACCGAUUGCGAAGGCAGCUCACUAAGCCAUAACUGACGCUGAUGCACGAAAGCGUGGGGAGCAAACAGG
rnacentral:rRNA from 1 species